GUGCCAAACAGUAGCUUCAUUCUAGUGCAAACCCCGCCAACUUCGGACUUGUUCAUAACCAGGAGGAGGCAGGACUUAUACAGAGCCAAAUUCAACAUGCUGCAUUCCAAAUCAAGAUCUGGGUAUUUCGAAUUUGGGCAAAAAAAACACACAUCUCUUCUUUCUAGGACCAUCUCUGCAUCAAAAAUUUGUAGAAGGGACACUCUGGUUUCACAAAUUGACACCCAAGCUGUUAAACCUCUCCAUAGAAAGCCCUCAAAGAUCUCGAAAUCG